AUUCAUCCUAUGCAAUACAGAGAGUUAUCAGUAUUCAGUUACCCUCAAAGAAGAACAGUGAUAUUUCAACGCUCAACCAGUUGUCUUAACCACUAGACCGGUAAUUUUAUGUACAGUCAGCUCUACCAAUGCAGUGUAUAUUUGAAGUGUUAAUCGUUGCAACAAUACUAUAUCGCAGUGACUUUAGCUUGACAUGUGUUCGCUCGUUGGCGAAAUAUAGCUUUUUAAGAUUCCUGGCCACCUUCUUCCACCCAGUACGAGUUCAAAAUGACGACAAAAUAUCCGGUAGCAGAUUAUCAUGACAAAGUAAGUAUAAUCACAACUGAUUGUAUUCCUACAAUAUUUGCUUAUUACGUUCAUACUUCACAUUCCAUAAAAUUCUCCUUCAAACAUAUUGUGUGUUUUGUUUGUGGCCCCAUAUGACUAAAUAAAACGCUCAAAAUUGCUGAAAUACCUUUGAAGACAUUGUUGAGCAAUUUAAAUUGUGGAUGAUUUGGAAAAAAUCGUCAAUCCAAGCGAUGUGAUUGCAUAUAUUCAGCAAAUGUGUGGGGUGUAAUUAGUUAAAUUAAGCGGAACCUAGCUGAAUACUAAAAAUAAUUUUAGUUCAACCACAAAAUUUUUUGAAAACGUGCAAAGAGCAAGUGAAAAUAGGAUUAGAUAAACAUUCAAUCAACAUUCUUGAUCAAGUCUAUAGAAACGGUGAAUACUUCAUUUCAAGCUUUUUUCCUUUGUCUGUGUACGAGAUUUGUCACAUAUUCAUCAUCAUCCAGUCAGAAAUUGAUACACCUAUGUACACAGGUAAAGACAGGAUGAAUGAGUUGGCAAACGGCAAUCGGCGAUUAAGCAAAGAGACUUUGAUGUUUGGCGCUUGUUGAAGCUUAAGAUGUAAUAUAAAAUUCUUAUACAUAUAAACCCAAAUAUAUAGAUUAUUGUUUAGUUGUGAGAUUGUAAAAUAUCUGUUUAGUUUAUAUUUGAGAAAAAAGAAUUUGAAUUAUAUUUGGACUGCCAACAUGUAAGAACUAUGUUAAUAAAUUUCAAAAUGCUUAAUAACAUGGUAAAAUCAUCUAAGCUGUCUUCGUAUAUGAUACAUGCAACACUUAGCCAUUAGCAAUGAUCGCCAAUCAUUCAUUACCACAAGUGAAAUGAUCAUUAGGCACAAAAUUUGUCUAGAACAUCGAGUAUCAAUUAGGCUGUUUCAUAAUGUAAAUAAACUAACUUCAUUUUUGAAAUUUGUAAUUUUUCUUCUCUAUGUAAGUGAUUGUUUUUCCAUUGAAAUUAGAAAUAUGAUUGCUAGUUUCAUAUAUGUAUGCAUAAAUAUAAGAUUAUGAUUUCAUAUUAUAAUUUUGUUAUUUUGGCGGAGUUAUAA